rnacentral:rRNA from 1 species
AACGAACGCUGGCGGCAGGCCUAACACAUGCAAGUCGAACGCCCUUUUAUUAAGGGAGUGGCAGACGGGUGAGUAACGCGUGGGAACCUACCUUUCGGUACGGAACAACACAUAGAAAUGUGUGCUAAUACCGUAUACGUCCUCAGGGAGAAAGAUUUAUCGCCGAUAGAUGGGCCCGCGUUUGAUUAGCUAGUUGGUGAGGUAAUGGCUCACCAAGGCGACGAUCAAUAGCUGGUCUGAGAGGAUGAUCAGCCACACUGGGACUGAGACACGGCCCAG